rnacentral:rRNA from 1 species
GACGAACGCUGGCGGCGUGCCUAAUACAUGCAAGUAGAACGCUGAAGAGAGGAGCUUGCUCUUCUUGGAUGAGUUGCGCACGGGUGAGUAACGCGUAGGUAACCUGCCUUGUAGCGGGGGAUAACUAUUGGAAACGAUAGCUAAUACCGCAUAACAAUGUAUUACACAUGUCUUUUAUUUGAAAUGGGCUAUUGCUCCACUACAAGAUGGACCUGCGUUGUAUUAGCUAGUAGGUGAGGUAAUGGCUCACCUAGGCGACGAUACAUAGCCGACCUGAGAGGGUGAUCGGCCACACUGGGACUGAGACACGGCCCAGACUCCUACGGGAGGCAGCAGUAGGGAAUCUUCGGCAAUGGGGGCAAGCCUGACCGAGCAACGCCGCGUGAGUGAAGAAGGUUUUCGGAUCGUAAAGCUCUGUUGUAAGUGAAGAACGGGUGUGAGAGUGGAAAGUUCACACUGUGACGGUAGCUUACCAGAAAGGGACGGCUAACUACGUG